rnacentral:rRNA from 1 species
UACAGAGGGUGCAAGCGUUGUUCGGAAUUAUUGGCGUAAGCGCGUGUAGGCGGCUUGCAAGUCGGUGUGAAAUCCCUCGGCUCAACUGAGGAACUGCACGGGAAACUGCCUGGCUUGAGUUCGGGAGAGGAUGGUGGAAUUCCCAGUGUAGAGGUGAAAUUCGUAGAUAUUGGGAAGAACACCGAUGGCGAAGGCAGCCAUCUGGACCGACACUGACGCUGAGGCGCGAAAGCGUGGGGAGCGAACGAGGA